rnacentral:rRNA from 1 species
UACGGAGGGGGCUAGCGUUGUUCGGAAUUACUGGGCGUAAAGCGCGCGUAGGCGGUUUGCUAAGUCAGGGGUGAAAUCCUGGAGCUCAACUCCAGAACUGCCUUUGAUACUGGCGGACUUGAGUCCGGGAGAGGUGAGUGGAACUGCGAGUGUAGAGGUGAAAUUCGUAGAUAUUCGCAAGAACACCAGUGGCGAAGGCGGCUCACUGGCCCGGUACUGACGCUGAGGUGCGAAAGCGUGGGGAGCAAACAGG